UUCAGGAGCCAGGGUUGCCUGAUAUGCUGGAUGUGAGGCAUGGAGCAAGGUGUUGGAAAAUCUGAGGGGUCUGGCAGAAACAGAGCUUGUGAAACCAACCCUGUGCACAGUUACCAGCUGUUCAGGGACUAGACCAGUAUGGAGGAACUCCUUCAGUACCCUUGUAAACUGGGGAAUCGAUCCAGACACUCGUAACAGAGGCUUAUGUUGCUGCUUUGGACUGAACCUGAAACCUUAUUGGCUCAGCAUGAAAGUCUUUGGUCUAAGAAUUAUGCUGCCUUCCACUCCCUUACUCUGCAUUAACAAAUGACCUUUGGUCUCCUGAAUGCUGCUUCAGAGCUUAUUCUUACUAUUCUUUCAUCAGAUUGGAGACAUAACUGCGUUUCUUCAGGUAAGUCUCCCUGAACCUCCUCUUGCAUUUAAAAGGUUGAUCAGGUUUUUAUGGAACUACUCUCUGUAGUACAUAAUAAACACUUAAUACAUACUUGUGGAAUGAAUAACCAAGCUGAUCCAAUCAUCUGUGGUCAUUUGUCUCUUCACCAAGUAAGACUUUACUUAAUAACAUCUGGAUGAGAACUCUGGAAAGGAGGGUCAGGCUAGGAGAGCAAUCUUUUACACAUGAGGACUUAUUCC